GUCGAACGCUGAAGCUUGGUGCUUGCACUGGGUGGAUGAGUGGCGAACGGGUGAGUAAUACGUGAGUAACCUGCCCUUGACUCUGGGAUAAGCCUGGGAAACUGGGUCUAAUACUGGAUACGACAUGUCACCGCAUGGUGGUGUGUGGAAAGGGUUUUACUGGUUUUGGAUGGGCUCACGGCCUAUCAGCUUGUUGGUGGGGUAAUGGCUCACCAAGGCGACGACGGGUAGCCGGCCUGAGAGGGUGACCGGCCACACUGGGACUGAGACACGGCCCAGACUCCUACGGGAGGCAGCAGUGGGGAAUAUUGCACAAUGGGCGAAAGCCUGAUGCAGCGACGCCGCGUGAGGGAUGACGGCCUUCGGGUUGUAAACCUCUUUCAGCACGGAAGAAGCGAAAGUGACGGUACGUGCAGAAGAAGCGCCGGCUAACUACGUGCCAGCAGCCGCGGUAAUACGUAGGGCGCAAGCGUUGUCCGGAAUUAUUGGGCGUAAAGAGCUCGUAGGCGGUUUGUCGCGUCUGCUGUGAAAGCCCGGGGCUUAACCCCGGGUGUGCAGUGGGUACGGGCAGACUUGAGUGCAGUAGGGGAGACUGGAAUUCCUGGUGUAGCGGUGAAAUGCGCAGAUAUCAGGAGGAACACCGAUGGCGAAGGCAGGUCUCUGGGCUGUUACUGACGCUGAGGAGCGAAAGCAUGGGGAGCGAACAGGAUUAGAUACCCUGGUAGUCCAUGCCGUAAACGUUGGGCACUAGGUGUGGGGAACAUUCCACGUUUUCCGCGCCGUAGCUAACGCAUUAAGUGCCCCGCCUGGGGAGUACGGCCGCAAGGCUAAAACUCAAAGGAAUUGACGGGGGCCCGCACAAGCGGCGGAGCAUGCGGAUUAAUUCGAUGCAACGCGAAGAACCUUACCAAGGCUUGACAUACACCGGACCGGGCCAGAGAUGGUCUUUCCCCCUUGUGGGGCUGGUGUACAGGUGGUGCAUGGUUGUCGUCAGCUCGUGUCGUGAGAUGUUGGGUUAAGUCCCGCAACGAGCGCAACCCUCGUUCUAUGUUGCCAGCACGUGAUGGUGGGGACUCAUAGGAGACUGCCGGGGUCAACUCCGAGGAAGGUGGGGAUGACGUCAAAUCAUCAUGCCCCUUAUGUCUUGGGCUUCACGCAUGCUACAAUGGCCAGUACAAUGGGUUGCGAUGCCGCGAGGUGGAGCUAAUCCCAAAAAGCUGGU
rnacentral:rRNA from 2 species